GCCUGGGUGGCUCAGUCGGUUAAGCCUCUGACUUCAGCUCAGGUCAAGAUCUCACAGUCCGUGAGUUCGAGCCCCGCGUCAGGCU
rnacentral:tRNA from 1 species